rnacentral:miRNA from 1 species
UACCUCCCUGAUUGGAAGGGUUUCCUUCCGAAGAGGUCGAUGUACCUCCCUGACCGGAAGGGUUUCCUUCCGAUCAACGAGGAUGUACCUCGUUGAUCGGAAGGAAACCCUUCCGACCAGGGAGGUACAUCGACCUCUUUGAUCGGAAGGGGUUCCUUCCGAUCAGGGAGGUA